ensembl:snoRNA
AUACUUUUGUAGGUCUUAAGCAAAGGAUUGGGUUUUCACACUCAUGUGUGAGGUCUGCGACCAUCAAAUGUUCUGAUCUGGGCAGGUUACCUGGCUAAUG